rnacentral:rRNA from 1 species
UGAGGAAUUUUUCGCAAUGGGCGAAAGCCUGACGAAGCAAUGCCGCGUGCAGGAAGACGGCCCGUGGGUUGUAAACUGCUUUUCUCAGAGAAGAAGAUCUGACGGUAUCUGAGGAAUAAGCACCGGCUAACUCUGUGCCAGCAGCCGCGGUAAUACAGAGGGUGCAAGCGUUGUCCGGAAUGAUUGGGCGUAAAGCGUCUGUAGGUGGCUCGUAAAGUCUAAUGUCAAAUACCAGGGCUCAACCUUGGACCGGCAUUAGAGUACUCACGAGCUUGAGUAUGGUAGAGGCAGAGGGAAUUCCAAGUGGAGCGGUGAAAUGCGUAGAGAUUUGGAGGAACACCAGUGGCGAAGGCGCUCUGCUGGGCCAAAACUGACACUGAGAGACGAAAGCUGGGGGAGC